AGAGUUUGAUCCUGGCUCAGAACAAACGCUGGCGGCGUGCCUAAUACAUGCAAGUCAAACGAGGUAGCAAUACCUAGUGGCGCACGGGUGAGGAAUAUAUGGGUAAUCUGCCCUCGAGUUGGGGAUAACCAGUCGAAAGAUUGGCUAAUACCGGAUAAGACCACAGGAUCUGCGGAUCUAGGGGUUAAAGGUUUUUCGCUUGAGGAUGAGCCCAUAUGGGAUUAGCUAGUUGGUAAGGUAAUGGCUUACCAAGGCUACGAUCUCUAACUGGUCUUAGAGGAUGAUCAGUCACACUGGAACUGAGACACGGUCCAGACUCCUACGGGAGGCAGCAGUAGGGAAUAUUGCACAAUGGGGGAAACCCUGAUGCAGCGACGCCGCGUGAGUGAUGAAGGCCUUCGGGUCGUAAAGCUCUGUCGUAUGGGACU
rnacentral:rRNA from 1 species